rnacentral:rRNA from 1 species
AUUGAACGCUGGCGGCAGGCCUAACACAUGCAAGUCGAGCGAGCGGCGGACGGGUGAGUAAUGUCUGGGAAACUGCCUGAUGGAGGGGGAUAACUACUGGAAACGGUAGCUAAUACCGCAUACCAUCAGAUGUGCCCAGAUGGGAUUAGCUAGUAGGUUGGGUAACGGCUCACCUAGGCGCCGAUCCCUCGCUGGUCUGAGAGGAUGACCAGCCACACUGGAACUGAGACACGGUCCAGACGCCUACGGGAGCCAGCAGUGGGGAAUAUUGCACAAGGGGGGAAAGCCUGAUGCAGCCAUGCCGCGUGGGUGAAGAAGGCCUUCGGGUUGUAAAGCACUUGCAGCGGGGAGGCGUUAACCGCAGAAUAAGCACCGGCUAACUCCGUGCCAGCAGCCGCGGUAAUUC